GUAAUGAAUUAUCAAUAUGCAGUAUUUAUAAUUCUUUGUGUUGAAAACAUUUGUUUUUAUUUUUAGAUAGUCUAUUACUAGCGUCAGCUAAUUUUUAAAGCAAACAUGAACCAAGUAAAUAAUGAGGAAAUUCUCACAAAUACCAUAUUUAGAAUUCUAAUAAAUAUAUAAAUAAAUAUUUAAAAAAUAUAAAAAUUUAAGAAUAGUUUCAAACCUAAGUUUCGAUUUUCAAAAAGAAAUUUUGAAAAAAAAAAAUUCAAAAGAAAAUAUUAUAAAGAAGUUUGAAUUUGAAAAAGUAUAAUUCAAAUUUUUUUUUAUUUUUUUUUUUUUUUAUUUAAAUAGUAAUUUAUUAUAUAUAUAGAGAACAAAGAUAUAAGAGUCUUUUGCCACUUAAUCAAUAAUGUAUUUUUGAAAAAAGAUGAAAAGUACCAUCAAAAUGGUUUCCCCUAAAUAAUGGAGGGCAUAUGAGAUUUUAUUAAGUUUGACGUCAAAAAUAUGGUUAUCCAAAACGAUAAAACCAAAUAAAUUAACUGGUAUAAAUUAUAACUAUAAUUUGAUCUGCGAUUUAAAAAUGCGAGAUUUAGGUUUUUAAAAAAAAAAUUAUAACAGACAAAUAUAUGUAAUUCUAAUAUUAUCCGUUUUAUAAUUUUGUAAGUUAAUACAUUUUGUGUUGAUCAGUGUUUCCAUAACCAAUCCAAAUCUGCAAGUUGAUUAUUUUGUAAUUAUGAGGUUUAUUUUGCAAUUACAUAUGAAUAGAAGGUUUAUUUUGAGAUUAUGUAUAAAUAUAAGGUCAAUUUUGCAUUAUUUCCUAAAAUCUUAUAACAAAAAAAAAUUAUUCGAUGGUUAAAUAUUCUAGAUUUAGGAUUUAAAGUUAAAGGGUGGAAUUUUUAAGAUAUAAUUUUAAAUUUAAAAAAAUAAAAAAUCUAUACUAUACUAAAAGCAAGAUAUACUUAUCAGCUAGGGUAUCCACGUCCUCCAAUUUAAUCAGCCAAUCAUAAAGUUCUCUAACGCCACGUCACUCCUAUGAGUGGAGUAACUUAUAUGGGCUACAUGUUAAAUGGUUCAUCGUUAAUGAGCCCAAGAGAACUCAAAUCCUGUCACCGUCAUCCCAUUUCUUCCACUUCAUCUGAAUUGAUUUGACUCACUGCAAAUCUCCGUUUUGUGUAUUAAUCACCAGAUUCACCACCCACUCCUACUCAUCAAAUAACAUUCUUGAAUCAUAUAUUCAAUUUUAUUCUUCACCCAAAUUCGUUUCUUUUUUUUUAAAUCAAUGGAUUAGCAAUGCAACCAAAAGCUACCCCUCGGCCGCGUGGAUCCCGAUACUGGUAACGACGGCUGAGCCAUAGAAACAACCCAAUCAGGUUCAAAAUUGGAUCAACGUCCUUGAUCAUUUGAUAGAUAAGUUUACAGCAAUCAAAGCAUUGUAGCAAGCUGGUUCUGAACAAGAAGAUAUUAGACAUACAAUUGCUAGAGAUGGCAUCUCGACAUGGCACUGGGAAGAAUGUCAAUCAACAGAACGUAAAUCAACGGAGAUCACCAGAUGAUGCUGAAAGGGAGGCUAGAGAAAUGGUGCUUAGUCAAAUAUUGUUUUCCCACUCUCUCGAGAGAAUUGCUCCUGUUUCCCUGUUGGAACCUUUAAAGAGUGCCUAGAGGAUGUUAUUUUGAGGGCUGCUCAAAUGGAACAGAUAGUUGAGAAGGUUUGUGAGGAGCGGCUUAAUACUGGAGCGGUUUGUGAUUUAUGGGUUUACUUUCCAUCUGUGUCAAUCUUUAUGAUCUGGCACAAUCUUUUUAUUGGUUUCUUAUUUAAGCUACUUAUGCCCUAGAAACAUAAUAUACUUGGAUGAAUAAUUUUUCUUUUCAGUCUUAUCUUCGUUAUUCUAAAUCCCUGGUUUGCAUCUCUUGAAAUUAAGAUUAUAUUUCUGCAGGUACUGAUUUGAGUGAUACAUUGAUGGAUUGGAUGAUAAAGGACAUACUCAGUGUAUAUAUAUAUAUAUAUACAUAUAUAUAUAUAUAUAUAUAUAUAUAUAUAUUAUUUAUAUACUUCCGUAUGAUAUAUCUCCUCUUGGUAAAAGCUAUAAAGAUAUAUAUACCUUUACGACUUGCCAUCGUAAGUCUUUCCAUUGAUGUUUGCUUCAUGAGUCUACAUUUGUGUUUCCUUUUCAAAAGCUUAGUUCAUCGUAAAUAUAGUUUUUAUCCUUCAUGAAUAAAUUUUAACUCUCACUUAUUUAUCUGCUUGGCUUCGACUGAUUCUAUUAUUAUGUAAACAUGUAGUUUUUCCCAGAUUCGGGUUACAUGUCAGUUGUACAAAGUUAAGGAGACAACAAGGUCAUGGUUUCCGAGGGCUACAUUUCUGCACCAUUUGGAGAUAAUAGUGCUUCUUCUUCUACUGCUGAAUAUACAAAAGGCUGCAAAAAGCUUUUCCUGUAAACCAGAGUAAUUUACCCAAAUUUGAUUCAUCUCAAUUUGGUCAAUGAGUCUGGCUCUGAAGGUGGUUCAAAGAAGCCUGCUGAGAAUGGAUUUAUGACAUGAGGUGGCUGUAAUAGCUCAAGCAGUAGAGCAUGAAGACAAUCAUGGCAUUGAAGAUGAAAGGAAGGUCUUCAAAAACACCACAGAAGAAGUAAGUCACAAGAUUCAAACACCACAGAAGAAGUAAGCGACAAGACUUGAAAGUGACGACUACAAUGUAAGAAGAAAGCUAAAGAAGUAUUUGUAAUGAGAAGAUUAAGAAAGUUUCUACGGUUUUGUGUGUCCCCGAGGAUUCAGUUUGAUUUGUUUUGUUUUCGUUACCAAAAUGCUAUUAUCAUACUGGUGCAUUUAGUUAAAUACAAGUAGAUAGACCGAAUAAUAUUACUUCAAAUCAACAUUAGUUACUCAAAGCUGACUUCAGCUACGUUAUGUAUAUAACAAGAUAAAUUUUCAUUGGGAUCUAAAAAUAUAAUUGUGUACAAUAUGAUUAUAUAUAAAUAAAGACGAUUUUAUACUA